UGGUGGAGUGAUUUGUCUGGUUAAUUCCGAUAACGAACGAGACCUUAACCUGCUAAAUAGCCAGGCCGGCUUCGGCUGGUCGCGGGCUUCUUAGAGGGACUGUCGGCGUCUAGUCGACGGAAGUUUGAGGCAAUAACA
rnacentral:rRNA from 1 species